rnacentral:rRNA from 1 species
AGCAGCCGCGGUAAUUCCAGCUCCAAUAGCGUAUAUUAAAGUUGCUGCAGUUAAAAAGCUCGUAGUUGAAUUUCGGGACCAUCAUGUCGGUCGUGCCUCGGUACGUACUGGCAUUGUUGGUUUCUCCCUUCUGACGAACCAUGAUGUCAUUAAUUUGGUGUCAUGGGGAAUCAGGACUGUUACUUUGAAAAAUUAGAGUGUUUAAAGCAGGCUCACGCUUGAAUACAUUAGCAUGGAAUAAUGAAAUAGGACGUUUGAUUCUAUUUUGUUGGUUUCUAGGAUCGACGUAAUGAUUAAUAGGGAUAGUUGGGGGCAUUAGUAUUCAAUUGUCAGAGGUGAAAUUCUUGGAUUUAUUGAAGACUAACUACUGCGAAAGCAUUUGCCAAGGAUGUU